GGACAGAUGGCCGAGCGGUCUAAGGCGCUGUGUUCAGGUUGCAUCUUCAACUAAGAACGACUUUCUUCGCAGUCUCGUAAGAGGCGUGAGUUCGAAUCUCACUCUGUUCA